ACGAACGCUGGCGGCGUGCUUAACACAUGCAAGUCGAACGAAGCUUGAUUACGGAUUCUUCGGAUGAAGUAUGAUAUGACUGAGUGGCGGACGGGUGAGUAACGCGUGAGUAACCUGCCCUUCAGAGGGGGAUAGCGUUUGGAAACGAACGGUAAUACCGCAUAAUGUAUUUUGACCGCAUGAUCGAAAUACCAAAGAUUUAUCGCUGAAGGAUGGACUCGCGUCUGAUUAGGUAGUUGGUGGGGUAACGGCCUACCAAGCCGACGAUCAGUAGCCGGACUGAGAGGUUGAUCGGCCACAUUGGGACUGAGACACGGCCCAGACUCCUACGGGAGGCAGCAGUGGGGAAUAUUGCACAAUGGGCGCAAGCCUGAUGCAGCAACGCCGCGUGAAGGAAGACGGUUUUCGGAUUGUAAACUUCUGUUCUUAGUGAAGAAUAAUGACGGUAGCUAAGGAGCAAGCCACGGCUAACUACGUGCCAGCAGCCGCGGUAAUACGUAGGUGGCAAGCGUUGUCCGGAAUUACUGGGUGUAAAGGGAGCGCAGGCGGGUGAUCAAGUCAGCUGUGAAAACUACGGGCUUAACCCGUAGACUGCAGUUGAAACUGUUCAUCUUGAGUGAAGUAGAGGUUGGCGGAAUUCCGAGUGUAGCGGUGAAAUGCGUAGAUAUUCGGAGGAACACCGGUGGCGAAGGCGGCCAACUGGGCUUUAACUGACGCUGAGGCUCGAAAGUGUGGGGAGCAAACAGGAUUAGAUACCCUGGUAGUCCACACUGUAAACGAUGAUUGCUAGGUGUGGGGGGUCUGACCCCUUCCGUGCCGGAGCUAACGCAAUAAGCAAUCCACCUGGGGAGUACGACCGCAAGGUUGAAACUCAAAGGAAUUGACGGGGACCCGCACAAGCAGUGGAUUAUGUGGUUUAAUUCGAAGCAACGCGAAGAACCUUACCAGCACUUGACAUCCAACUAACGAAAUAGAGAUAUAUUAGGUGCCCUUCGGGGAAAGUUGAGACAGGUGGUGCAUGGUUGUCGUCAGCUCGUGUCGUGAGAUGUUGGGUUAAGUCCCGCAACGAGCGCAACCCUUGUGAUAUGUUACUAACAUUGAGUUAAGGACUCAUAUCAGACUGCCGGUGAUAAACCGGAGGAAGGUGGGGAUGACGUCAAAUCAUCAUGCCCCUUAUGACCUGGGCUACACACGUACUACAAUGGCGUUAAACAAAGAGAAGCAAGACCGCGAGGUGGAGCAAAACUCAGAAACAACGUCCCAGUUCGGACUGCAGGCUGCAACUCGCCUGCACGAAGUCGGAAUUGCUAGUAAUCGUGGAUCAGCAUGCCACGGUGAAUACGUUCCCGGGUCUUGUACACACCGCCCGUCACACCAUGGGAGCCGGUAACACCCGAAGUCAGUAGUCUAACCGCAAGGAGGACGCUGCCGAAGGUGGGAUUGGCGACUGGGGUG
rnacentral:rRNA from 1 species